rnacentral:rRNA from 1 species
CCUUUUCCGGNUCUUCCGCGCCGUAGCUAACGCAUUAAGUGCCCCGCCUGGGGAGUACGGCCGCAAGGCUAAAACUCAAAGGAAUUGACGGGGGCCCGCACAAGCGGCGGAGCAUGCGGAUUAAUUCGAUGCAACGCGAAGAACCUUACCAAGGCUUGACAUGUGCCGGUCGGCUCCGGAGACGGGGCUUCCUCCUUGUGGGGCCGGUUCACAGGUGGUGCAUGGUUGUCGUCAGCUCGUGUCGUGAGAUGUUGGGUUAAGUCCCGCAACGAGCGCAACCCUUGUCCCGUGUUGCCAGCACGUUGUGGUGGGGACUCGCGGGAGACUGCCGGGGUCAACUCGGAGGAAGGUGGGGAUGACGUCAAAUCAUCAUGCCCCUUAUGUCUUGGGCUUCACGCAUGCUACAAUGGCCGGUACAGAGGGCUGCGAUACCGUGAGGUGGAGCGAAUCCCUUAAAGCCGGUCUCAGUUCGGAUCGGUGUCUGCAACUCGACACCGUGAAGUUGGAGUCGCUAGUAAUCGCAGAUCAGCAACGCUGCGGUGAAUACGUUCUCGGGCCUUGUACACACCGCCCGUCACGUCAUGAAAGUCGGCAACNCCCGAAGCCCGUGGCCCUAC